ACAGGAAAUGGAUUUAAGAGUUGACAGGACUUAACGCACUCUCCCUGGUAGCAGUUUAUGAGGGAACCAACCGCAGUAGACAUAGCACGCUUCAUCAAAGGGAAGUCGCCGGAGUAGUGUUUGUAGCAAUUCUCGUACUCUGUCCUGCAUCGAAGCUUCAGGUCCAAAGCAAAUCUUCUCUGCAUGGAUUCUCCUAUGGCCUUGGUUCUUCCCGGAAACAUGUGACUGCUGAAUGGAGCCGUAGCAGUCUGUUUUAUUUGAGAGUCAAAGAAGUGACGCAAGUCCUUAAGGUUUUCAAUCACAUGUCCUUGUUUUUCAGAUGCACCAGACGCAGCGGCAUGCACUGUCUCCAUCACUGAUGAAAUGGGAUAUGACUAGUGGCCGGUCAUCACUUUGUAACUCACCAACACAAUUAGCGGCCCAUUGCUUUUCGUCUGCAAUGGUGGUCUCCGGAGGAAUGGUUGCAGUGCAGUCUUCGUGUCCUGGGCAGGUCUGUUGCAUGUUGGUGGCUGACGCUGGUUCAAUAUUUGCACCAAGAAGCAUACCACGCAUACCCUCUGUUGUAAGACUGGUACCCAGGUGACCGACAGCCAUGGCCACAUUCAGCUGUGCAGCUCUUCGUUCCCAGCCAGAUCUUCUCACCUCUUCGUAAAGCUUUUCUCAGUGACUGGUAUAGUGGCACUUCUUACAUUGAAUGGAAAUCAUCCAUGCCAGGCCUCGUUUUUCUUCCCCAUGCUGAUUCCAGUCCAGUUGACCAUCACAGUCUGGAAACUUCUGUGUCCACUGGCUGGACCUCACUAGGCCCAGGUCGUAAAAACUUCAUCCCGCUGCUUCGACUCUUGGCAUCUAUAACUGCAAACACUCCAUUUUUCUGUGGCCGUACAAUGUCCUGAAACUCUUCUUUACUUAGUCUUCUUAUAGGAACCAGAGAUUGGACUGGGCUGGUGGUCCCUAUUUUCUUCUGGCCUUUGUUGUGAGGAAUACUUCCUUUUUAGCUCACCUGAGCCGAAGGCUCAAGUGAGCUUUUCUGAUCACAUUUUGUCCGGCGUCCGUCUGUCUGUCCGUCUGUCUGUCUGUCUGUCUGUAAACUUUUCACAUUUUCGACUUCUUCUCAAGAACCGCUGGGCCAAUUUUAACCAAACUUGCCACAAAGCAUCCUUGGGUAAAGGGGAUUCAAGUUUGUUCAAAUACAGGGCCACGCCCUCAUUCAAGGGGAGAUAAUUGGGAAUUAAUGAAAAUUUGGUGGUAUGUUUUAAAAAUCUUCUUCUCAAGAACCACUGUGCCAGGAAAGAUGAAACUUAUGGGG